rnacentral:rRNA from 1 species
UACAGGGGGGUGCUAGCGUUGUUCGGAAUUACUGGGCGUAAAGGGCGCGUAGGCGGCUUUGUAAGUCAGAUGUGAAAUCCCCGGGCUUAACUCGGGACGUGCAUUUGAAACUGCGAGGCUAGAGUGCAGUAGAGGAUGGUAGAAUUCCCAGUGUAGAGGUGAAAUUCGUAGAUAUUGGGGAGGAAUACCGGUGGCGAAGGCGGCCAUCUGGGACUGUAACUGA